GUGUCAGCCGCCGCGGUAAUACAGAGAGUGCAAACGUUGUUCGGAAUUACUGGGCUUAAAGCGCACGUAGGCGGCGCCGCAAGUGUUGGGUGAAAUCCCACGGCUUACCCGUGGAACUGCCCAGCAGACUGCGGUGCUAGAGGAUGGUAGGGGAGAGCGGAACUCCUGGUGGAGCGGUGAAAUGCGUAGAUAUCAGGAGGAACACCGGUGGCGAAGGCGGCUCUCUGGUCCAUUUCUGACGCUGAGGUGCGAAAGCUAGGGGAGCAAACGGGAUUAGAUACCCCUGUAGUCC
rnacentral:rRNA from 1 species